AAAUGGAAAAUGCAUCUCCUGCAGAAAAUGCGUGGGAAUGCUGAAUAGCUGAAUUGCUAAAGCUAACCUGGUUGAAAAGAUUAAAUCAGUACGAAGAUGUUGAAGUAGUGAGAAUUG